rnacentral:rRNA from 1 species
UACGGAGGGCGCGAGCGUUAAUCGGAAUUACUGGGCGUAAAGCGCGCGUAGGCUGUUGUGUAAGUUGGGGGUGAAAUCCCACGGCUCAACCGUGGAACAGCCCUUGAUACUGCGCGACUUGAAUCCGGGAGAGGGUGGCGGAAUUCCAGGUGUAGGAGUGAAAUCCGUAGAUAUCUGGAGGAACAUCAGUGGCGAAGGCGGCCACCUGGACCGGUAUUGACGCUGAGGCGCGAAAAGCGUGGGGGAGCAAACAGG